rnacentral:rRNA from 1 species
UACGGAGGGUGCGAGCGUUGUCCGGAAUCACUGGGCGUAAAGGGCGCGUAGGCGGGCUGCCGCGUCCGGGGUGAAAUCCCACGGCUCAACCGUGGAACGGCCCCGGGUACGGGCGGCCUCGAGGAAGGUAGGGGCGUGCGGAACUGUGGGUGGAGCGGUGAAAUGCGUUGAUAUCCACAGGAACUCCGGUGGCGAAGGCGGCACGCUGGACCUUUUCUGACGCUGAGGCGCGAAAGCCAGGGGAGCGAACGGG